rnacentral:rRNA from 1 species
UAUCAAAAACAUGUCUUAUUGUAUUUUAAAUAUUAAGUUAGGCCUGCCCAAUGAUUUUUUAAUGGCUGCAGUAAUUUAACUGUACAAAGGUAGCAUAAUCAUUAGUUUUUUAAUUGAGAACUAGAAUGAAGGGUUUUAUGAGAUAUUAAUUUUAUUAUAUUAAUAAAUAUAAUUUUAUUUUUUAGUAAGAAAGCUAAAAUUUGAAUAAUAGACGAGAAGACCCUAUAGAGUUUAAUAAUUAUUAUUAUAAGUUUAUUUUAAGAAUUUAGUGAUUAAUUAUAAUUAAUAUUAUUUUAUUGGGGUGAUAGUAUAAUUUAAUUAAUUUAUAUAUUAUUUAUUAUAUUUAUUUAUAAGUUUUUGAUCCAUUUAUAUUGAUUAAUAAUUUAAAUUACCUUAGGGAUAACAGCAUAAUUUAUUUGGAAAGUUCAUAUUAAUAGAUAAGAUUAUGACCUCGAUGUUGGAUUAAGAUAAAUUUUAGGAGCAUAAAUUUAAUAAUUGAGUCUGUUCGACUUUUAAAAUCUUACAUGAUCUGAGCUCA